rnacentral:rRNA from 1 species
UACGGAGGGGCUAGCGUUGUUCGGAAUUACUGGGCGUAAAGCGCGCGUAGGCGGACCUGCAAGUCGGGGGUGAAAGCCCGAGGCUCAACCUCGGAACUGCCUUCGAUACUGCGGGUCCCGAGUCCGGGAGAGGUGAGUGGGAAUUCCUAGUGUAGAGGUGAAAUUCGUAGAUAUUAGGAAGAACACCAGUGGCGAAGGCGGCUCACUGGCCCGGUACUGACGCUGAGGCGCGAAAGCGUGGGGAGCAAACAGG